CUGACCUCAAAUCAGGUAGGAUUACCCGCUGAACUUAAGCAUAUCAAUAAGCGGA
rnacentral:rRNA from 1 species